UACGGAGGGGACUAGCGUUGUUCGGAAUUACUGGGCGUAAAGCGCACGUAGGCGGAUUUGUAAGUCAGGGGUGAAAUCCCGGGGCUCAACCUCGGAACUGCCUUUGAUACUGCAAAUCUCGAGUCCGGAAGAGGUGAGUGGAAUUCCUAGUGUAGAGGUGAAAUUCGUAGAUAUUAGGAAGAACACCAGUGGCGAAGGCGGCUCACUGGUCCGGUUCUGACGCUGAGGUGCGAAAGCGUGGGGAGCAAACAGG
rnacentral:rRNA from 1 species